rnacentral:rRNA from 1 species
CGGCUACCUUGUUACGACUUCACCCCAAUCGCUGACCCUACCUUAGGACGCUUCCUCCCUUGCGGGUUAGAUCACGUACGUUGGGUAUUGCCAACUCUCAUGGUGUGACGGGCGGUGUGUACAAGGCCCGGGAACGUAUUCACCGCGACAUGCUGAUUCGCGAUUACUAGCAACUCCAGCUUCAUGUAGGCGAGUUUCAGCCUACAAUCCGAACUGAGACAAGUUUUUGAGUUUUGCUCCACCUCACGGUCUUGCUUCUCUUUGUACUUGCCAUUGUAGCACGUGUGUAGCCCUAGACAUAAGGGGCAUGAUGAUUUGACGUCAUCCCCACCUUCCUCCCGGUUAACCCGGGCAGUCUCGCUAGAGUGCUCAACUAAAUGGUAGCAACUAACAAUAAGGGUUGCGCUCGUUGCGGGACUUAACCCAACAUCUCACGACACGAGCUGACGACAACCAUGCACCACCUGUCUUCCUGUCCCCGAAGGAACUUCCCCGAUUAAGGGUAAUGCAGGAGAUGUCAAGUCUAGGUAAGGUUCUUCGCGUUGCUUCGAAUUAAACCACAUGCUCCGCUGCUUGUGCGGGCCCCCGUCAAUUCCUUUGAGUUUUAAUCUUGCGACCGUACUCCCCAGGCGGAAUACUUAAUGCGUUAGCGGCGGCACAGAAGUCAUGACAACCCCUACACCUAGUAUUCAUCGU